rnacentral:rRNA from 1 species
UACGAAGGGGGCUAGCGUUGCUCGGAAUCACUGGGCGUAAAGGGUGCGUAGGCGGGUUUUUAAGUCAGGGGUGAAAUCCUGGAGCUCAACUCCAGAACUGCCUUCGAUACUGGGAGCUCGAGUCCGGGAGAGGUGAGUGGAACUGCGAGUGUAGAGGUGAAAUUCGUAGAUAUUCGCAAGAACACCAGUGGCGAAGGCGGCUCACUGGCCCGGUACUGACGCUGAGGUGCGAAAGCGUGGGGAGCAAACAGGG